UACGGGAGGGCAAGCGUUGUUCGGAUUUACUGGGCGUAAAGGGCGCGUAGGCGGUCGUGACAAGUCACUUGUGAAAUCUCCGGGCUUAACUCGGAACGGUCAAGUGAUACUGUCGGACUAGAGUACAGAAGGGGCAACUGGAAUUCUCGGUGUAGCGGUGAAAUGCGUAGAUAUCGAGAGGAACACCUGCGGCGAAGGCGGGUUGCUGGGCUGAUACUGACGCUGAGGCGCGAAAGCCAGGGGAGCGAACGGG
rnacentral:rRNA from 1 species